UACGGAGGCAGCAGUGGGGAAUAUUGCACAAUGGGCGCAAGCCUGAUGCAGCCAUGCCGCGUGUAUGAAGAAGGCUUCGGGUUGUAAAGUACUUUCAGCAGUGAGGAAGGUGGAUAUGUUAAUAGCAUAUUCAUUUGACGUUAGCUGCAGAAGAAGCACCGGCUAACUCCGUGCCAGCAGCCGCGGUAAUACGGAGGGUGCGAGCGUUAAUCGGAAUUACUGGGCGUAAAGCGCAUGCAGGUGGUUUGUUAAGUCAGAUGUGAAAGCCCGGGGCUCAACCUCGGAAUUGCAUUUGAAACUGGCAAACUAGAGUACUGUAGAGGGGGUAGAAUUUCAGGUGUAGCGGUGAAAUGCGUAGAGAUCUGAAGGAAUACCGGUGGCGAAGGCGGCCCCCUGGACAGAUACUGACACUCAGAUGCGAAAGCGUGGGGAGCAAACAGGAUUAUAUACCCUGGUAG
rnacentral:rRNA from 1 species